rnacentral:rRNA from 1 species
UAGGGAAUCUUCCGCAAUGGACGCAAGUCUGACGGAGCAACGCCGCGUGAGUGAAGAAGGAUUUCGGUUCGUAAAACUCUGUUGUUAGAGAAGAACAGCGCAUAGAGUAACUGUUAUGCGUGUGACGGUAUCUAACCAGAAAGCCACGGCUAACUACGUGCCAGCAGCCGCGGUAAUACGUAGGUGGCAAGCGUUGUCCGGAUUUAUUGGGCGUAAAGCGAGCGCAGGCGGUCAAUUAAGUCUGAUGUGAAAGCCCCCGGCUCAACCGGGGAGGGUCAUUGGAAACUGGUUGACUUGAGUGCAGAAGAGGAGAGUGGAAUUCCAUGUGUAGCGGUGAGAUGCGUAGAUAUAUGGAGGAACACCAGUGGCGAAGGCGACUCUCUGGUCUGUAACUGACGCUGAGGCUCGAAAGCGUGGGUAGCAAACAGG